AUUGAACGCUGGCGGCAUGCCUUACACAUGCAAGUCGAACGGCAGCACGGGAGCAAUCCUGGUGGCGAGUGGCGAACGGGUGAGUAAAGUAUCGGAACGUGCCCAGUCGUGGGGGAUAACGUAGCGAAAGUUACGCUAAUACCGCAUACGAUCUAUGGAUGAAAGCGGGGGAUCGCAAGACCUCGCGCGAUUGGAGCGGCCGAUAUCAGAUUAGGUAGUUGGUGGGGUAAAGGCUCACCAAGCCGACGAUCUGUAGCUGGUCUGAGAGGACGACCAGCCACACUGGGACGGGGUCACGGCCCGGACUCCUACGGGAGGCAGCAGUGGGGAAUUUUGGACAAUGGGCGAAAGACUGAUUCAGCCAUGCCGCGUGCAGGAUGAAGGCCUUCGGGUUGUAAACUGCUUUUGUACGGAACGAAAAGGUUUGGCCUAAUAAGCUGAGCUCAUGACGGUACCGUAAGAAUAGGCACCGGCUAACUACGUGCCAGCCGCCGCCGUAA
rnacentral:rRNA from 1 species